UCAGGCCUAACACAUGCAAGUCGUACGGGAAUUUUUAAUUCAAGUGGCGGACGGGUGAGUAACACGUAAGAAUUUGCCUUUAGGAGGGGGACAACAACUGGAAACGGUUGCUAAUACCCCAUAUGCUUUCGAGUGAAAUGGAUUUUUCCGCCUAAAGAGAAGCUUGCGGCUGAUUAGCUUGUUGGUGAGGUAAUGGCUCACCAAGGCGACGAUCAGUAUCUGGUUUGAGAGGAUGAUCAGACACACUGGAACUGAGACACGGUCCAGACUCCUACGGGAGGCAGCAGCGGGGAAUUUUCCGCAAUGGGCGAAAGCCUGACGGAGCAAUCUCGCGUGAGGGAUGACGACGUAUGGGUUGUAAACCUCUUUUUUCAGGGAGGAACAAAAUGAC
rnacentral:rRNA from 1 species